AUACGGAGGAUGCAAGCGUUAUCCGGAUUUAUUGGGUUUAAAGGGUGCGUAGGCGGAUGAUUAAGCGUGAGGUGAAAUGCCACUGCUCAACAGUGGAACUGCCUCGCGAACUGGUUGUCUUGAAUGCUCCUGCCGUGGGAGGAAUGUGUGGUGUAGCGGUGAAAUGCAUAGAGAUCACACAGAACACCGAUUGCGAAGGCAUCUCACGAAGGGGUGAGUGACGCUGAGGCACGAAAGCGUGGGGAUCAAACAGGAUUAGAUACCCUGGUAGUCCACGCAGUAAACGAUGAUAACUAACCGCUGGGUCGUAGUGAUUCAGUGGCCAAGCGAAAGCGAUAAGUUAUCCACCUGGGGAGUACGACCGCAAGGUUGAAACUCAAAGGAAUUGACGGGG
rnacentral:rRNA from 1 species